rnacentral:rRNA from 1 species
GUGAGGGCAAGCCAACCACAGAAAAGCCAUCUCAGUUCGGAUUGUAGUCUGCAACCCGACUACAUGAAGCUGGAAUCGCUAGUAAUCGCAGAUCAGAAUGCUGCGGUGAAUACGUUCCCGGGUCUUGUACACACCGCCCGUCACACCAUGGGAGUUGGAAAUGCCCGAAGCCAGUGACCCAACCGUAAGGAGGGAGCUGUCGAAGGUGGAGCCGAUGACUGGGGUGAAGUCGUAACAAGGUAUC